GUCACAAGCCAGAGCUCGCAGAUCUGCUGAAUGGAAUGAGCAAUUAGAGGGUGGAAUAUUAUUGCCAUCUUAACGAGGCUCGUUAAAGCUAAAGAAGAUAUGUAGACUGGCGGUGGGGAGGGAGGGGUGCAGAGGAGGAAGCUUUAAAUGGGGGACAAAUGGACAACCAGUGACUCGGGAUAUUAGGAUAGCAGAGAGUCAAUUUGCGCAUCCUUUCCGCAGCUCAUUCCAACGCAAAUUUAACUGGCGACUCUUGGUCCCUUUUUUUUAGUGCAUUUUAGUGUUGUGAAAGACGGGAUGUACCUUUACACUCUACAUCCCAACCUUCUUUAAAUAAUAAUAACGAUAAGAAUAUUCAUAUUUCUUCUUGUCUCCACACCCGAGACGCGAUCGAUGUCCACAUCCAGUCACAGGACUCGGAUUAGAGCGGCGGUGUGGUUUUCAUGUUUAUGGCUCAUAUUUAGGCGGGGUGUUAAAAUAGUGCCGGUCCAGCCCAACUCGAACACAGCUCUCAUUGUAGCAUCGAGACUGCGCUGUAAUCCGCCCUCGAUAAAGCUGACAUAAUGAUCCUAAGCCGCCUUUCUACAAUCAUGAAGGAAUUCAAAACUUUUCUUCUCAGAUGCCGGACCUCGCUGGGACCGUGAGUAGCGCGGUAUUACGCACGGUGGCACACUUUUACGCGCCGCUUGUGUGUGUGUGUGUGUGUGAGUGUGUGAUGGGGAGCUAGGGUAAACUUGUGAUGAUCUAGUUUGGGGGUGGGAGUAGGUUUGUGAGUGCUGGUGCGCACGCGUGUUUCUGUCAGGGGGGAGUCGGGUCUAGUUUCUGGGAUGAAACCUGUCCGCCAACCUCAGGAGGACUAAUUCCAAGUGGCACUUGAAUUGGUUCGGUUGGAGGGUGCUGUGGACUGGAAGUAAAGGCUGGUAUUUUCAUGCUGGUGUUAAAACUAACCUCCUAGCCUGUGCACCCCUCCCUCACUCUCCCGCUCCUCUCCUCUCCCUCACCUCCACCUCUCCACUUAGUAAUAUGUAAAGCCUCACAAAAUUCAGGUGUUCACCGGCCAAAGCCCCAGGUCUUACUCUGCAUUAUGUUGGGCCUCUUUUUUGAGGGGGGAGCCGUAGCCCUCGCAGGCAAUUCGGAAAUCACUUCUCGAAGAAACUAUUGAGCUGAAAUGUAAAACCUGAAUGGGGAUUGGAGAGGACAGGCCAGUGCUAAUUCACAUUCUUUUACACGGCUUUUGUUUGCGUUAAGCGUGUAAUUAACACCCUCCCAAACUAGUUUAUUCACCUGCUGUAAUUGUGUGUUUACUCGAGGGUUAGCUGAAUGUUCCAAGCAGCAGGGGGGCUGCGCCCCGAAUGCAACAUUUAAGCUUCUAAACCUACACCAACAUCAUGCCAAACAAUUAAAACGUCUAUAAUAUGAGUUUGUGCUGCGCCAGCAUCAUUAGGAAGAGCGAAUAAACAAUUAUUGCGUCAUGGAUUAGAGAGAGCGAGGAGAGAGAGGGAGAGCGAGAGUGGGGGGAUACGAGAGGAAAAAAGGUGUUAACUGUUAACAGAGAAGAAAGAUGGCACCAAAGAAAAGGUCUUGUUUUAUUUGUUUUUUAUCGACUUGCUCCGCCGUUGACCUCGCUGAGCGGAGGCUGGUCAGUGACCGCAAGGGAGACUCUCGGACACAGCGUGGCAGCUGGAGUCAAGACUGGACUCAGCAUCUGGAGCGACGACCGAUGCGGAGAGUCUACUUUGGCACCGACCCCACAGAAAGAGAAGGACAUCCACAUGCGACACUUGUAAGUUUGGCUUUCGUUCUCAUCGCGUAAAAGAAUCCAUAGAUGUUUCCAGCAACCGAAAUAGACACCGAUUUGAAACGAAAAAGGUCUAGGUAACUUCUCAGAUGCUAUUAUUCCGCAAGGAUUCGCUAUUACAGCGCCACGAUCUCUUCGCGCAGUUCUGCAGCAUUUCUUCUGCACCUGACGACGUUUUGCACAACAGACUGAAUCGAAUGAUCCGUUUCUCUUGAAAGGAGUAAAUUUCGGAAAGUCAUUAAACCAAUUAACUGUCGCUUUAGAAUCUAAAAGUAUAUUUUACGAGCGUUCGUAAAUUUGCGAUAUAAUGUGAAGGAUAAUAAUUUGAAGUCUAAUGACUUCAGACUAUUAUUUCACUCUGAAGCUUAACGGCGGGAUCGUUCUUUUUAAGGUAAAUAUUGCUGAUUUCGAUCAUAUAUUUCGACUUGAACAUAAGAGCGAACCGCAAAAAACAAAAAUAGUUUUACACCAUUUAUUCUGACAGGAGCUGGAACCAAGUGCUUCAAAGGAGCAAAUAUAGGGAGGGCGGUGAUUGUGAGGAUGCACUUUCCCAUCCCAGGUCAUUUUUAAUGUUCAAGCAUCUGUUUUCUGGGAAAGGAUGAAUAUUUAAGUGUAGUUCAAGGUGACUUCAUUUGGAGUCUCACGGGCCGGAAUUCCUAUUGCGUUGGAUAUAUGUACAUUGUGUGGGAAAGGAAACAUUGUGCGAAUUGAAGAAAAUAUGAAUUGAAAAUCUCUGUUUUCUAUUCAGCAAAGUUUUAUUUGAGCAAAAAAAAAAUAUUGACAUGGAAGAGUAGAGAGAGUAAUGGUAUAGGAUUAAUAUCUGGAACCGACUCAUGCGUUGGUUAUGGCCCUAUCCAUCUGCAUUUUUUUUAUCUGAUGCCUGCUUUGCUCUGAGUCAGCCCUGUUUUAAUCCAAUUUAAAAAUGAAAUACUCCCCACAUUUUGCCUUGACAAUUCCUGAGACUCUUCAUAUGACUUUUUUCUGCUCCAGCAAAGCUCCUCACUCACACUGGCAUUGGUCGCACCAGAGCAGACAACUGAGUCAAAGUCAGAGAUGGUGCAGAACUUCCUAACAUCUCUCUCUCCCACUCUGUCCCCUCCCUCUUCUCUUGUAUUGUUUGGAUUGUGUGGUCUCAUUAGGGGACUUCCUGGCAGAGGGCUGGGGGCUUGUAUCGGAGCUGUCCAAUCACUGUAUUUACACGGUUGUUAGCGACAGUUAAUGAGGCUCCUCCCCGGGCCGGUGCAGAAAGGGAGCCCGGACCUUAAGAUUUACCUUGUGUCAACUCGUUACUUCUAAUGAACCUCCGUGCAGAAAGGAACUCCUUCCUUCCACUCAAUGGAAUCCAGUGUGUGAGAGCGUGGAAGAGUGAAGCAGUGUGUAGGUGGCGACCUCCCACUCCCUCUACCCCCCAGCCCCCACCCCGCCCCUCCGGGGAGGGACAGGUUCUAUGUCACUUCUUCACAGAAAGUUGAUGGGAGCUUUAUUGGCAAUUACAUUUUGGAAUAAUAGUGAAAGUUAAUAUGCUAACUGGGUCUCCCAAACAGCAAAAAAAAAAAAAACAAAAAAAAAAAAAACCCAA